UACGUAGGUGACAAGCGUUAUCCGGAAUUACUGGGCGUAAAGCGCACGCAGGCGGCAUUACAAGUCUGACGUGAAAUCUCCUGGCUUAACUGGGAGAGGUCGUUGGAAACUGUAAGGCUUGAGGCGAUGAGAGGGGUGUAGAAUUCCCGGUGUAGUGGUGGAAUGCGUAGAUAUCGGGAGGAAUACCAGUGGCGAAAGCGGCACCCUGGCAUUAGCCUGACGCUCAUGUGCGAAAGCGUGGGGAGCGAACGGG
rnacentral:rRNA from 1 species